rnacentral:lncRNA from 1 species
CCCUCAAAGAAGAAACUAUGAAAACCUUCAAUUGAACCCUAUAAUUGAUGAAGGAAACAUGUUGAUUAAAAAGAGUAAAACGCAUACCUUUUGAAUCUGCUCGGUGGUUAUGCUUGAAGGUGGGAAUGAAGGCAUCACAGGAAUCAUUUGCGGUGUUUGCUGCAUCUUUUUCGCCUUGUUAUUUUUAGUUUCCCUUAAAUUAAUAGAAAAGGAAAAAACCCUAAUUUCCACAAUCAACGAUUAAUAAACCCCAAAUCCAAGUUGAAACAUGUUAGUAACUAUUAUACAACACAAAACCCUUCGAAGUAAACAUAAAAAAUACAGUAACUUUAAGAGAAAGAGAGAAAAAAUGGAACCUGGGUAUGGGAAUUUGGGGAAAGGUGAGUGAUUGAAACACUUGUUAACUGGAUUGUGUUCUGAUUCUGAGGAUCUUUGAAGCCCUUUGUAGUGACGAGGUUUCUAGAAUUGAAGACAAGGGAACAACAUAAAAAAACAAGGAAUAGAUUAAGGGACAUUAGCAGCGUGAAUAAAAAGCUUUACCCAACCAAACAAAAAUUGCUGGUUGCUAUCUUACAUAAUCCAAUAUCAAUAUUCUUGUAAUAAUUUAGAAUUAAAUUGGUUUAUUUCUAAUUAAUGGAAAGAUAUAAUUGAGAUUAUUGGCAUUGAAUCACAUAAUUUUCUUGGUGCAUUGUAAAUAAAAAAACAACAAAGCUAAAACAAAAGAAAAAUAUCUAGGUCAAAACAAGUUUGACAAUCUACUAGAACAGAAGUUUAUACUUAAUGUUAAAUAUAUGAAUGAGAAUCAUAUAAUGAUUAUUGAGGUUUGAGUUUUGCUUCAAAUUUAUUUUUAUUAUUAAUGAACAAUAUUGAUUUUAAAUGGGUUACUAAUGAUAUGAUGGCUAUGAUUAUUUUAUGAUUUAUAUCGGAAAAUGAAUAAAAUAUGGUAACUAGUUAUUUAGAUUUAAUUAAAUAUUUUUAUUUAAUAAUUUUAGAAUAUUAUUAUAUUGUUUGACACACAUAUAAUUUUAUAUUAGAUAUUACGGAUUGAUGAAAGAUUUUAUAUUAGAUAUUACAGAUUGAUAAAAGAUUUUAUAAAUCAUAAAACUAUUUUCCUAAUAUUUUUGUUUAAGACAUGAUGUUUUAAUGAUCUUCACUCUUUCCAUAAUUUCCAUAAUCUAAUAAUAAUGAGAUUUAGUUGGAGUAUGGUUUAAGACGUGUGGUCACUAAGUUGAGAGACUUUUGUUGAGUACAAUAAGUAUGAAGUAUGAAAUAUGUGUUAGAUAUUUUCUGAUGAUUAGUGAAAUAUCAAUCAUAGGAUCUUGAAUUUCAUGAUUCUAACACAUUAUAUGUAAAAGAAGGAUACAAAGUCAUGCAUGAAUCCCUGAAUCCAUGUUCUCUGAUGUACUCCUUUGAUAUACAUUUUGAGAGAGUUUUGGUAUGAUGGUCUUCCUCAACCAAAUCCUGAAUUUCUUUUGGGACAUUCGUUUUCUCUCUGAUGAGGAGAUGUGAAAACUAUUUGUGAUUUGGUGUGUUGGGGGCCAUAACUUUCCUUAUGCGUUAACUUAUAGAGUUCUCAUUAUCCCUUAUAGGUUAACCUGAUGGGUAUCCACUCAUUAAGCUCAUAUAUAUUAUCAUUUUUUAGAAAUCUAUAGGGUGUUAGUAAUUCGAUCACUUAUAAUGUAACCCCAAAAUAAAUAGUUGAUAUCAUUGUAUCAAAUAUAUGAUACUCACCUUAAUUAGAAAUUUAUAAUUUCUAACAAUCUCCCACUUGGACUUCAUAUAUUCCUCAUACAAUUAUAUCAUAGGUUCUUUAGGCGUACAUCCGUAUGCUAUUUGCAUUUAGACUUCUCCUUAAUACAAUCUAAUCCAUUUCAUAUAUCAACUAUGGAACCACCGCGACUUUUAUCACAUUCAAACAUGACUCGGUCAUGAUGAUCACCAUAUCAAUAUAUUAAAUGAUAUAGAUCAAAUAUGGAUGAGUGACAUGGAAAUUUCAUGCAAUGUGACCUUAAACAUGUCUAUUUCCAACUGGUCCUUCUUUAUUCUUUAGUGAGAUCAAUCCAAAGUCUUUAAUUGCAACACAAUAGUUACAAUACAAAAGUUCAAACUAGAACAAUAAAUCAUCAACUUUAUUAUGCAUAAAACUAUAUAUGACGUCCAAAUUAUAUCAUAAAACAUAUAGACUCCCACUGAACUAAGGUAUCCUCGUGAAAUAUUUUAGGUAUCAAACCCUUAGUCAAUGGAUCAACUAGCAUAAAAUUUGUCAUUAUAUGUUCAAUAGAAAUUUGUCUAUUUUGAACACUUUCUUUAACAACUAGAAACUUAAUGUCAAUAAAAUUUGACUUCCAUGGUCUGAUGUUUCAAAACAAACCAUGAACUCCACAACCAUGGUUGAAGGAGCUAUGAGCGUCUGUUUAGCAGACUUCCAAGAGAUAGCACCUUCAGCCAAGAUAAACAUAUAUCCAUACGUGGAGUGCCUGUUAUCUAGACACCCAAAAAUUGAAGUCAGAGUACCUAAUGAUCUCUAAAUUCUCAAACAUUCGAUAAGUGAACAUGUACUCCUUUGUUCUCUUUAAGUAACGCCUAACCUGUUUGAUUGCCUUCUAGUGAUGCAUUAUAGAAUUGCUUAAUUACCUUUUCAAAAAUCCCACGACAAAGCUAUGUCGGGAUUAUACGCUUUGUACAAACUUGAAUAUACAUUAGACUUCCUACUACAGAUGCAUAAGAAAUCUUUUGCUUCUCGUAUCUUUCAAGGUCAUUUUUGGGAGACUGUUCGAGACUAAACUUGUCUCCCUUAGCUAUAGGGGUAUCCCUUGCUUUAUUGUCUUUCAUGUCAAAUUUAUUAGGACUUUAUUUAUAUAGCUUUCUUGUGACAACCUUAGGAUACCUUGAGAGCAAUCUCUUAGUAUCUGAAUACCUAAUACAAAAGAAGUUUCCCCAAGAUCUUUGAUUUCGAAAUUAUUCGUUAGAAAUCUCCUCGUCUCAUGCAAUAGUCCCAAAUCACUACUCGCAAACAAUAUAUCAUUGAUAUAUAAUACCAUGAAUAUAACUUUACUCCCACUGAACUUAUGGUAUACAUAAUCUUCAAUUUUAUUUUCCUCAAAACCAUACGAGGUAAUAACUUAAUGAAAUAUGUGAUUUCAUUGAUGGGAAGCUUGUUUAAGCCCAUAGAUGGAUUUCUCUAAUUUGCAUAUCAUGGACUUUGAGCUAGAAACACAGUCUUAACAUCCAUCUGAUGUAGUUCUAAAUCAAAAUGAGCUACUAGUGCCAAUAUUAUUCUAAAAGAAUCAUUCGAAGAUACUAGAGAAAAUGUUUCUUUAUAAUCAAUGUCUUCAUUCUGAGUGAAGCCUUUAGCAACUAGACGAGCUUUAUAUCUAUCAAUAUUACCCUCCAAAUCCCUCUUGGUUUUUAAUAUCCAUUUGCAACCAAUGGGUUACACACCUUCAGGUAAUUCGACAAGAUCCCAAACGUCAUUAUCAUGCAUAUAUUUCAUCUCAUCCUUCAUGACAUUGAUCUACUUUUGAGAGUUAGAACUUUUCAUGGCUUGAUAGAAAUUCAAUAAAUCAUCUUCUAUUAACCCAAUGUCAUCCUCAUGAUCUUGAAGAAAUACAAUAUAAUCAUCAGGAAAUGUACUUCUCCCCUCUCUAGUGGAUCUCCUUAAUGACAUUUCUACUUCUUGAGAUUGUUGAAUUCUUUCUAUAGGUAGUUGAGGGAGAAUAUCAUUAUUGUCUUGUUCUGAAAUAUUGUCAGGGACAAUAUUCUAAACAUUAUAUUCUAUUACCAAAUUUAUUCCUUGAAUGGUAAUAGGCACAAGUACUUGUUCACUAUCAGUGACAGGUUCUUCCUCAAAGACAACAUUCUUUAUGUUCUCUUCCUUCCCAAAAUCAACUUCCUCAAGAAAUCUUGCAUUUCCCGUAUAAAAAAAGAGUCUUGAAGUAGGAUCAUAAAAUUUAUAGCCUCGAGAGCGUUCAAUAUGACCAACAAAAUAACAGCUAACAGUUCUUGAGUUCAGUUUUCUUUCAUGCGGCCUAUAAGUUCGCGCCUCAGUAAUGUGCAAGUGUUUUAAGCUUGACUUUUUAUUAGUCCAAAGUUCAUAUGAGGUUUUGUUAACUGCUUUAUUUGGCACCCUAUUAAGGAUGUAAACUGCAAUCUUUUAAGCUUCCCCCCAAAGAGACUCUGGUAAGGAAGAAUGACUAAUCAUACUUCUCACCCUAUCCUUAAGAGUUUGGCUUCGUCACUCAACAACACCAUUCAUACUAGGUUUGCUUGGCAUAGUGUAUUGCAUAACAAUUCCAUGUUCUCUGAGGAAAAAACAUAAAUAGACCUUUCACAACAUCCUUAUUGUUUUUUCUUUUCUUAUUCUGAGAGGUCAUAGUCAAAUGAGCACUUUUAGUUUUAGCUCUCUACAAUCUCUAUUUCUCUUGCACACACUGAGAUAUAAACUCAAUGUGAGACCAUUUGUCCUUCUGAGUAUUAUAACUCAUUUUGAAUGGCCCAAAGUGUGGAGGAAACGAGAUCAAAACCAAGUGCACGAGCAAGUCAUCACCAAGCUCUAACUUAAGUGACUUGCGUUUUUGAUGCGAGAUUAGACAUAUCCAUAAUGCACUCCCUUAUGUUUGUAACACCGCGAAUUUUACGAUUUUGAAUUAUAAGAUUUUAUUAAUAUUUUUAUUAAUUAUAUAUUCGAAAAUGAAUUUAUGGGCAAUUUAGGUAAAGAAUUAGACAAAACUCUAGUUGAGUUUUAGUCUUGAAAUUUUAUUUCCAAUUUUGUAGUAAAUUUUGGUAAUUUUCGGAGACAGUCGGUUCUGGACCACUGUCUGGGCUGAAAUCCACCCGGUACGGCUCAAAAAGUGGUUUUUGAGUUCCGUAACUCGGAAUCGAAUUCCGAUCACACUGUUGGCUUCGUAAUUUUAUUUCGAGUCAAUAUAGACCCUGAAUACACCCAUACCUAUUUUCUAAAUAUUUUUCCCUCAGAAUGCCGAAAUCCGAAAUUCUAAUCAAAUAUUACGAUCGGGCGAUUUAUAAUAUUCGAUCGAGUAUUAGCCGAUGAUACUCGAGCAUGAUUAACACACGUAUCCGUGAGGGGUCAUUUCGCAUUGGGAUGCGAAAGUUGACUUCCAUAAAGUAAACCUUACAUCACUCAAUCUCACCAUUAGCCACCCUAGGAGAUUUUCCUGAUUGCAUAGGAGGGAAGACUUCCCUCUCCCCUUAAACCCUCAUACUCCCAACUUCACUCUAUCACUCUUGAAUUUUCAAAGAAGAGGUAAAAACCUAUCUUCAUUUUUCUCUCAUUUCUCUUUUCUUCUUCCAUCUUCAAACUUUGAUCUCUCAACAUUCAACCAAUGGAUGUUGAUGAGAUUUAAGUAUGUUGUUCAUGAACAUGUCAAGAACAUAUUCAACCGUUAAAAUUUUCUAAAACGUUUUCUAACNNNNNNNNNNNNNNNNNNNNNNNNNNNNNNNNNNNNNNNNNNNNNNNNNNNNNNNNNNNNNNNNNNNNNNNNNNNNNNNNNNNNNNNNNNNNNNNNNNNNUGGAUUACCGAAUUGCAAUGGCAUCUUUUGGGGGAAAAGUCCUGGUUGCUGAGCCAUUGCUGCAGCCUGAGGAUGUUGCAUAUAGAAACCUUGUUGCAUAGCGGGGUGUGGCGCCAUCUGCAAGUGUUCAAUACGUCGCAGCGAAAUCAACAUAAUGCGCAACUGUAAGAACUUCCAAGGGACCACCUAUCCUAUAAUUUUACCUGUGGAGGCAUGGUUGGUGUUUGUGGCUGGGCAUCAGCAAUUGCUGCUAAAUACAUUAAAUUUUUUUGAAGCUGAGCUUGAUACCUAAGACAUCAAAUCAUCGCACCACCAUUACAUAAAACCUUAGCAAAGUACACACAAAUACAUAAAAAAACAAAUGUUUGCAAAUAGACGACGACUAUAAUAUACUAUACAUUCAUAUUAUAGAAAUUCAACAACUUUCUAGUUGGUUUCGACUGCCUAACACAACUUUAUAUUUUAUUUGGAGCAUCAAGCACAAAUAAGCAGGUUUGAGUAUAAUAUACUAUACGAUUUAGAAGAUUGUCAAUUAAAUGUAGCUAGUGACAAGAACGAAUGAGUAAUUAGUAAUGCUAAGAGCCUCACCCAUUAUACAUGUGUAAAAUGUUAGGGAUCAGAUGAUGAAGAGACAAUCAACUGCUAGUUAAAAUCUGAACAAAUUAAAACACACAGACACAAUGGACAUCACACUUACUGGGCACAUUCAGCAAGUUUUCCAAGAUUUUGAUUGUCCAAUAUUGCCAGAAUCAGCUUCUUGUUUUCAUCAAGAUACUGCACAGGUGCCAAGACAGGGCACUCAGAUUAAUUAAUGAAAAUUCAAGUUGACUAUUUAUGUUUAAAAAAAUCAUAUCAUUUCAAAUGCGAGGGGAUGCGUAUCAUGACAAGUAGAUAUAUGGAUAAUGAGAAAAGAAACUUUCAGAGAACUAAAAGUUCUAUCCCGAUAGUUUGGCUAGUGCACAAAGGAUAUACAAACAAUUUCAUGACAUGAAAUCUCUUAAUGGAUCAAGUACACUAUACAAGUUCCAUAGAAAUCAAUACCAAUAUUAUUUAUGAUGCCCUCAUGCUUCUCAGUUUUCAAAGAUUUCAAUAUCAGGGAGGAUCCCAGUGAUGCCAGAUACUAUGUUGCCCAGGCAUGUGAUGAUAGGUUGUUUAACUAUGUUAUAUAGCACAACCAACAACCUUAUCAUAUCCAGAGAUUAAGAACCAAAUCCUACUGCUAUUAUAAAUCAACAGGUCUGGUGAAACUCAUAAUUAUUUGCAGUGAUCAAACUACACAUUAAAAAGAUCCAUGGAUGAUGGAUCAUAACUCCUCAAAAUGCCGUCACCCAGUUUCCAUCUCAUAAUUGCAAGAGAAUGAUGACAUGCUCAACUUAAGUUUUAUAUGCUAAAGUUGUCUUUAUUGAUCAUAUUCAACUCUAACACACAGGUCUCCUAUAUAAAAAGGCUUUCAGAAACACUAUAGGUAUCCCCGUUGCGACUCUUAUCCCAGGGAUGAAGGAACCAAGUGAGAUUCUGAUCUAAUCGGUAAGGGUUGAUUUGGAUGAGCUGUGAUGCAAAAUAUUGAAUUUUUAUGCUGUGGAUUCUGAAAGUUCAUCUGAAUAUGGGUUGCGGAUUGGAAAACUUUGUUGUGGUGGAAACACCUGCGUCUUGUCUGUUAUAGCCGCAAAUCUGUUCCAUUGCGGCCGCGACACUCUUCCGUUGCAGUCAUUUUCCAUGAUUUGGAGGCACCCUGUUAUAGUGGCUUCUUUUGGUAUUGUUAUCUCCCAAAACAAUUUUGUUUCAGUCGCAUUACAUGUUGCGGAAGGAUAUUUAAAACUCUGUUAAUUAGGUUCUCAGUGAUGCCAAAUAUUGUUUACUUAGAUGAUAUUUUAACAUGGAGUAAAUCACCCGCUCAAAUAAGACAUGGAUUAAAAUUACAAUUCCAGUUAGAUGCACACAACUCAUGUGCCGUAUCUUUUCAUAUCUUGGUGCAAGGAAUUAAUUGAGACAGAUGUCACUCUUGCCACAAACCUCACACAAAACCCUCCCAUUCCUUAGAUCAUUAAUCAAAGACUCAUUCCUACAUCUACAUAUUCACUAUUUUUAGGUUUGUAAUUGAAAUGAUCCAUUACAAAUUUACAAUCACCCAUUCCCUCAAUAUUAGAAAAUAGUCUCUCCCACAGACAGGUUCUAAACUUGGCUCAUAUCAUAUAUAAUAUAAGCAAGAAAUAGAUAUUACAUUAAUUUCUAGAAAAAGUAAAACUAUUUCCACACUAUAUGGCUAAAUUUAUUACAGAAGACCACAAAACCAAUCCAGUUGAAGAAUCAUCACCCCUCAAAGAAGAAACUAUGAAAACCUUCAAUUGAACCCUAUAAUUGAUGAAGGAAACAUGUUGAUUAAAAAGAGUAAAACGCAUACCUUUUGAAUCUGCUCGGUGGUUAUGCUUGAAGGUGGGAAUGAAGGCAUCACAGGAAUCAUUUGCGGUGUUUGCUGCAUCUUUUUCGCCUUGUUAUUUUUAGUUUCCCUUAAAUUAAUAGAAAAGGAAAAAACCCUAAUUUCCACAAUCAACGAUUAAUAAACCCCAAAUCCAAGUUGAAACAUGUUAGUAACUAUUAUACAACACAAAACCCUUCGAAGUAAACAUAAAAAAUACAGUAACU